AUUGAACGCUGGCGGCAGGCCUAACACAUGCAAGUCGAACGGUAACAGGAAGCAGCUUGCUGCUUUGCUGACGAGUGGCGGACGGGUGAGUAAUGUCUGGGAAACUGCCUGAUGGAGGGGGAUAACUACUGGAAACGGUAGCUAAUACCGCAUAACGUCGCAAGACCAAAGAGGGGGACCUUCGGGCCUCUUGCCAUCGGAUGGGCCCAGAUGGGAUUAGCUAGUAGGUGGGGUAACGGCUCACCUAGGCGACGAUCCCUAGCUGGUCUGAGAGGAUGACCAGCCACACUGGAACUGAGACACGGUCCAGACUCCUACGGGAGGCAGCAGUGGGGAAUAUUGCACAAUGGGCGCAAGCCUGAUGCAGCCAUGCCGCGUGUAUGAAGAAGGCCUUCGGGUUGUAAAGUACUUUCAGCGGGGAGGAAGGGAGUAAAGUUAAUACCUUUGCUCAUUGACGUUACCCGCAGAAGAAGCACCGGCUAACUCCGUG
rnacentral:rRNA from 1 species